rnacentral:rRNA from 1 species
GGGGGACAGGGUGACAGGUGGUGCAUGGUUGUCGUCAGCUCGUGUCGUGAGAUGUUGGGUUAAGUCCCGCAACGAGCGCAACCCUCGCCUCUAGUUGCCAGCAUUCGGUUGGGCACUCUAGAGGGACUGCCGGCGACAAGUCGGAGGAAGGUGGGGAUGACGUCAAAUCAUCAUGCCCCUUAUGACCUGGGCUACACACGUGCUACAAUGGGCGGUACAAAGGGCUGCGAACCCGCGAGGGGGAGCGAAUCCCAAAAAGCCGCUCUCAGUUCGGAUUGCAGGCUGCAACUCGCCUGCAUGAAGCCGGAAUCGCUAGUAAUCGCGGAUCAGCAUGCCGCGGUGAAUACGUUCCCGGGCCUU